GGGGACCCAAGGCGGACGCCCCCCUCCACGGCAAUCUGGCAGGGGCGCCCGUUCCUCUGCCCGCCGGUGCUCCCACCCACCUUCCCUCCAAGAGGCCCCUCCUAGGCCGAGGGUGAAUGCUCCCUUACACUGACCGCUGCGAGGGAAUUGUCCGCGAGUGCUGCCCAUCUUCGAAUCAAUGCCUGCCCAGAACAACAGAAAGGGCCUCAGAUGUACUGGUUUCCACAGAACCAUUGUUCGGCUUUUGUGGAGCAGUUUUGAACCUAAUAAAUAAUGUCAAAAGUC